rnacentral:lncRNA from 1 species
GUGAGCUUCCCCGCCAGGAACUUACUGGGGCUGCAUCACCCUAGAAACGUGGCUUUGGGCUGUGGAAACGCUGCCUCUGUGGAAGUCUCUCCUCGCGGGGGUGGACGGGUCGCUGCGCGCCCAGCGUUCUUCUGCGGUUCUCACAGCCCGCCGCCGCCGCCGCCUCGGGGACCUUUGCGGGGAGGCCUCAGGGCACCUUCCUCCUCUCUCUCAGGCACGUCCUCGACCUCAGUUGCCACGUGCACAUGCUGGUGCCUUCCAGGCUGGAGUAUAGUGGCAUGAUCAUAGAUCACUGCAGCCUCAAACUCCUGGGCUCAAGCGAUCCUCCCACCUCAGCCUCCAUAUAGCUGGUGGGGACCAAGUUUCUAACACAUGAAUGUUGGGAGACACAUUCAGACCAUCGCAGUGGCCUUAUAAAAAGAGACACAAGAGCUUGCUCUCUGCCAUGUGAGAAUACCACAAGAAGACUGUCCUCAGCAAAUCAGAAAGCGGGUGGACCCUCAUCAGACACCAGAUGUGCCUGCACCUUGAUCUUGGACUUGCCAGCCUUCAGAACUCUAAGAAAGAAAUGGUAGCAUGGCUUGGUCUAAGUUGGAAGGCCUGAGAAACAAGCACAUGGUGGAACUGAGUUCAAGGAUAAAGACUUGAGAAUACCUGCUCAGUGGACUGAGUAGGGAAGAUCAACCCUCAAUGUAGGCAGGCACUAUCCAAUCACCUGAGGGCCCAGAUGGAACAAAAAGGUGGAAGAAGGGUGAAUUCUCUCUUCCAGAGCUGUGACACCCUUCUCAUGCCCUUGUACCACACAACUCUAGGUCCUUUGGCCUUUGGACUCUGACACUUGCACCAGUGGCCCUCUGGGGCUCUCAAGCCUUUAGCCUUGAACUUAGUUACACCAUGUGCCUCCUUGUUUCUCAGGCCUUCCAACUUGGAUCAGGCCAUGCCACCGGCUUCUCUGAUUCUCCAGCUUGCAGAUGGUAUAUUGUGACCCUGGCAUUUAAUAACUAUGACUUUGGUCUUAAGCAAUUUUCUUCCUCUGUGGAUUGAUAUUUACAUAUCAAUGUGGAUAAUAAUUUCUUACCACGGUAACUGUUGUGAGGUAAAAAUGAGUUAACAUAAGUAAAACCGAGCACAUGCAAACCAUCCGAAAUGGUUAAUACUUACUAUUUGUACUU